rnacentral:rRNA from 1 species
UACGAAGGGGGCUAGCGUUGCUCGGAAUUACUGGGCGUAAAGGGCGCGUAGGCGGACAGUUUAGUUGGGGGUGAAAGCCCGGGGCUCAACCUCGGAAUUGCCUUCAAUACUGGCUGUCUUGAGUGUGAGAGAGGUGUGUGGAACUCCGAGUGUAGAGGUGAAAUUCGUAGAUAUUCGGAAGAACACCAGUGGCGAAGGCGACACACUGGCUCACUACUGACGCUGAGGCGCGAAAGCGUGGGGAGCAAACAGG